rnacentral:lncRNA from 7 species
GGAAUGCUGCAGGACACCAGUGACAAAUAACACAGCAAAACAGACUGCACAUCUGAGGCAGCUUUGAGCCCAUGCCAUGCAUGCAGCUUUCCUCUGUGCAGCACUUCCUGGAGCUCAGCUCAGCAGAGCUUCUGCAGGAUUGGAGUCUAAAUGAGGCCAUGCUGUAACGUGAGGCACAGCAGCAAGGAGGAGCUGAGAGGGAGAUGAGUGCAGCAGUUAGAAGACACCACGUGGACUUAGCGAUUUGCAAGCACUCUCUGCCUGGUACCCCAGCUGAGGGUUUCUCUCUCACUGCAGCAGCACUUCCUGAGGGAAUCUGCUUCCUCUACCUGAUUUCUCUGGUUGUUGGAGCUGCUGAACUUCCUCCAGAAGAGGCCCAGCAGCAGCAGCUUCUCUGUUGUGAGGCCCUUUGGAUUUCAUUUGCCUGCUAAAAGGUGCAAUUGCUGAUCUGGCCACUGAGGAAUCAUCAUCAGCGCAUCUCCUGGCAAAGCAAAGCACCUCCUUCCAGAAAAGCUGGUCCAAGAGAGAAGCCGUGUGCUGAGUCAGCCUGGCAGCUGUAUUUCCUGCUCCAGUUCUCUCCUUCUGCAUGAUUCACUCCAGUUCCCUGCCAGGAAGCCUUGGUCCUGGGUGAGACAGUGAGAGGCAGAGGGAUGCUCCUGCUGUCCUGCACCAGGAUAUUGGAGACCAGCUCCUGUGUGUCCUGGCUGCCCCGCAAGUAAUGUUGGUGCUGCAAGGAAAGCAUCCAUUCAUUCUGCUCUGCCGCAUCACAGACAGAGGCACGAUUGUUUCUGCUGCGAUCCCAAAACCAACUGUGCAGGGAGGGCCACUGGGAGCUGCUCGGUGGGGCAGAGCAGUCCUGGUGGAGCUCAGGGAAGGCUGUCGGCCUCACCGCCCUCCUGGAGGUUAACAGAAGACCAACAGGAAGGAAUCCGGACUGUGAUGUAAACACAGAGUUGUUUCUCUUUGCCUCUCAGAUGGGUAUUAAAUGUGAUCUG